UACGUAGGGUGCGAGCGUUGCCCGGAUUUAUUGGGCGUAAAGGGCGCGUAGGCGGUCACGCACGUCCGUUGUGAAAUCGCUCAGCUCAACUGGGCGGGGUCAGCGGAUACGGUGUGACUGGAGCAAGCUAGGGGGCAAUGGAAUUCCCGGUGUAGUGGUGGAAUGCGUAGAUAUCGGGAGGAACACCAGUGGCGAAGGCGGUUGCCUGGAGCUUUGCUGACGCUGAUGCGCGAAAGCGUGGGGAGCGAUCCGG
rnacentral:rRNA from 1 species